rnacentral:lncRNA from 1 species
CCUUCUUCCUUUCUAUAGCCCUGUGGUGGAAGAUUUUAUUAAAAUCCUACGUGAAGUUGAUAAGGCGCUUGCUGAUGACUUGGAAAAAAACUUCCCAAGUUUGAAGGAACCUUAUGCAAAAAUCCAGAUGUAAUGAGGUGGCUCCUUUCACCCUUCACGUGGUCUGCCAGGAAGUUGCCUACUUGCUAAAAGGUGUACCCUGAGCAUUUGUGACUCCGAGGGAAACCAGGAACAUCAUGCUGCAGAAACCCUUUGGAGGAACGUGCCAACUGCUCCGUAACCAUGAGCUGGCUCUCCUUUGAUGGAGAGAUUAAUAGUUUCCAUAAUUAUAUCAUCCUGGUUGUUCUGGGGCCAGAGUUUACUUAGACUUGAAAGAAAUUGAAGUUAAUUGAAAAA